UCUGGUGGCGAUGCGUUUAUGGGAAACACCCGUUCCCAUACCGAACACGAUGGUUAAGCCAUAAACGGCCGAUGGUACUUGGUUGGAGACGACCCGGGAGAGUAGGUGGCUGCCAGAU
rnacentral:rRNA from 1 species